GACGUAGGGUCCAAGCGUUGUCCGGAUUUACUGGGCGUAAAGAGCGCGAGGCGGUCCGUUAAGUGUAGAGUGAAAGCUCCGGGCUCAACCCGGAAAUUGCUCUGCAUACUGGCGGACUCGAGGACGGAAGAGGUUUGUGGAAUUCCUGGAUGUAGCGGUGAAAUGCGUAGAUAUCAGGAGGAACACCGGUGGCGAAGGCG
rnacentral:rRNA from 1 species